AGAAAAAAGAAAAAAGCAGACCCAUCGAACCCGACCUGUUCGAUCCCCAAUCUCACCUCUCUCUCUCUAUCUCGCCACCCACACACCCUAACCCUAAUCCGACCGCGCCGCCGCUCCCAACCUGCGCGCCUCCGCCACAAACCAUCCGCCGGUCCCCUCGCGCCACCACAUCUUGGACCCCGGCCUCCCUUCCCUUAGUCCGAAGUAGCAGCAGCGCCGUCUGCGAUGGAGGAGCACCGUCCGCCGCCGAGGAACAGCAGCGCCGUCCGCCACCAAGGAUCCGCCGCGCGCCGGGAACAGCAGCACCAUACGCCGGAGGAUCCGCCGCACCGACUGCUGUUGAGGAGCAGCCUGCCGUUCUUCUUCCUCCACCGGCGACCCCUGUCCCGGCCCCGCCUCCAGAUCUCAACAAGAAUUUGCAGCAGGAUCCCUUGACUGCUCUCCGCUUGUCCUCACUCCUUAGACUUUCCCUUUGCUUAUCACCAUACAUUUUAUUCAGAGUGGUGUCAAGAUGCAUCUCCUCUGCCAAGAUGAUGGGCAGAGGGCCUAAGCUCUAGGGUCAAAUGGUGGGAAGUAUCAAGUCGAAGAUAUUAUGGCUUUUGUACAUAUUGUAUUUUCUUUAAAUGGAAGUUGAUGUCGGUUUGGUGAUCGAAGACUUGGGCUCUUCCAUAGUGUUUUGUAGAGUGAUCGAACUUAAGUCUCUUAUGAACUAGGCCCAUAUUUUAUAACAUGCCACAACUUGUAUGUUGACUUGAGUAUUUUUUUCAAUGGUUGUAGCAAGGAAAACUAAUGGGUCUUCUAUAUAUGUUGAAUAAAUGCGUUGGUCAAUGGCAUUUUGUGAUGAAUAAAAGAGUGUAAUUGUUGGUA